GGGAACGCCGUGGCUGUAGCUGCCGCCUCAGGUUUGUGGCUGUCGCCCUUGGCAAAGUUGAAGGGUGGGCUUCGUCCCCCUACCCCUCCCCGGGCCUACCCCGGGGCCCCCGGCCCGCUUGGGGAAGGCCCCGGCUCGGCCCGGCCCCGCCCCUGAUCCUCCAGGAAAGCGAGAUGGCGGCACUGGAAAGCCGUUCCCUUUCUCAGCUUCCCGGUGGCUGGAAUGUUCGGCCCAGUAAGAGCCGGGUCCCUGCUGAGGAUGCGCAGCCGCUUAAGGUCGAGAAGCGCUUCAGAAACGGUGCCGGAGCGUCGUCGCCAGAGGUGGGGAGAGAAGGGGGAAACAAAAGACUGAAGACCAGCGUGCGCCAGAUUAUGCAGAGGAAUGCGUGCAGCUCUGCCCUGGCAGAAGGAUGGGAAGGAGAGUUUGGCCCAAGGGACAAACCCAGACUCCCCACAUCACUGCAGUGUCAAACUCAGGCGUGCCCUUCGCUCUCCACAGCUCCUGUGCAGUGAGCAGUCCCAGUCUCAACAGGAGGAGGGAGCUCACUGAUGAAUACGUCCCCGUGAGACUCCACGGUGAUUUUCUUCCAGCAAGAAAACUGACCAUUAACUCCCCCUCCCCACACGAUAAGCUGCUUCCGUGCGUGGUAAAUGUGCAGAGUGGGAGGCUUCUUUUUAUAUACCUGCACCUCUUAAAAAAUUAUUCCAUCUACCUUGUAAUUAUGUCUAAUACAUAAAUGUUAUUUUAAUGAUAUAAAUAUAUUCCUAGAAAGAGACUCGGCAAUUAUUCUUUUGAAUGCGAACAAUUUUUUUUUCCCUAUUGGAAGUAAUUUAGGUUUGCCCUCUGUCGCACCUUGACAUUUUUGCUCAGCUUCUAUUUUUUACGUGUGUGAAUCACUGGCUUUUCAACGCAGAACUGUCACAGACUUGUAUAUUUUGAAAAGAAGCCAAGUUUCAGUAUCAUUAUACUUACACAUUCACCCUGAGGCAUAAUUGUUCUAAUACACAGUUUUCAUCCUGCAAUUUAAAGGAGAGUUAGUGUGUCUUUUUGCCUUCCAGUACCUGUCAUAGGGUUUUCAGUAUGCAUUGGGUAACACAAGCCCUUUCCUGUUCCCAUGGAAAUCAAUAGUAACACUUCAUACUCAUUAAAAUCUAUCAGAGGAAAAAAAAAAAAGGGAUCUAGGUAAUUAGAACCCACUUCUGUUUGGUCCCUGGUUUAUCUGAAAUCAGGAGAACUGUCAGUCAGGGAAGUGCAGGGGGGUCUGCAACGAGCUGAAAUCUCCAGACAGCAGAAAUAGGGGUGAAAUGCUCCGUGUCCCUCCUGGUGGGAGCCACGCUGCUCCUGUCCCCCCCCCACGGAGCACGUCACCCUGUGCCAGCGGCAGUGCCAGGCUGAAGGAAGAGUGACUCACCCGGGCGCAGAGGUGCCCCUGGGGAGCGGCGCUGCCCGAGGCACAGCCAGGAGGAGCGGGAGAGGGAGCAAGCAAACCCUGUGUGAGCAGCUGCGCCGAGUGAGAACUUCUCCUCGUCCAGCAAUGGGAGACCCGGGCAAAGGUAAACCUCUGCCUGGUUUUUCUGCUCUCACAUUUCACCUCAGCGUCGCUGGGCAUCGUGACAUCAACUCAGUGGGACGCUUUGAAGUGUACCAAGAGAUCACUCUAGGAGACAGAGUAAAAGUAAUAAAAUUUCGCCAUCCAUAUUCCUUUUCUUCA
rnacentral:lncRNA from 1 species